UUUGUUUCUUUAUAGGUAUGAUGCCACGAUAUUAUUUAUCGCGCUCCUCCACCAUAGAAACAAUUUUGAUUUGAGGUCGGUCUAAAAAUAGUUAUGUUUUGAAAAAUGAUUUAAAAGAUUUAGUUCACACGUAGGCACAUAAACAUUUACAUAUAAAUGCACAUAAUUCUUUUUGAAAUUCAUGGGAAGUGGUACUUCCAGGGACGCAUCGGGUUUAAAAAAAUUGGAACUAGACCUCGUAGUUCCUUUGACUUUCCCACUAACGAUAGGUUAGGAGAUAGUACUUUAUAAUUUAUUUCAAAAAUAAGCAGAGUCAUAAUCAAUCCAAAAUUUAAAGAAAGAUUGAAUUAUGUUGCAAGGUUUUGAUAUGAAAUAUUUUUAAACUAAGUAACUUGCUAGAUGCAUAAAAUGAUUCUAAUAAAAAAAAUUGCAUAAUGAAUGCGGAAAUCUUCAAGAGGACAAAUAGGAUUUCUAAUGAUAUUAACUAAUUUUAAGGGGAGGGCACAAAUAUGCACAAACAAAUUUUGUUAAAAAAUUAUUUACAAACCUAUAGACAUGAUUUCUAGGUGUUUAAAAAAAACAAUGUAACAUAUAUAUGCAUGAUUUUGUAAAUGAUAUGAACAAAUUAAACCUUAGACAUGGUUUCUACAUGACAAGAUGAUGCUAAAAUUAUAACAUUAUUAAAACACCUAAUCGGCCUAUUACUAUGAUUUACUUUUAACAUUAACGGAAUCUAGUUUAUUAUUUUUAGACUUUAUUAACAAAAGUGUCAAGCAAAUUGAAAAUUGAUUAGAUUAUAACACCUAUAAACAUUAAAUCUAGGUGGUUAAAGACAAACUUAUAGGCAUGAUUUCUAAAAAAUAUAACGAACAAAUAAGCAUAUAAAUCCCCCUCCCCUAGACGACCCCCAAAUAAAUUUAUUAUAUGAUCUUUAGGGUUACAAUUGUUACAUCAUUCGAAUAAAUAAAAUAGCGAAAAAAUAAAAAUAUAUAGAUAUAUAUAUACAUUCAAACAAAUAAAUAAAUCCUUCUUCAGUUAAUCUUCAACUUGAACUUCAAAUAUGAAACCCGUUAAGCAAAACGAAUUGAUUCAACCUUUACUUGAACAAAGUAAUAAGAUAGCAAAGAAGAACCCUUGAAUAAUUACCGGAAUAUUAAUGUUUGUUAAGUAGUAAGAGAGCAAAUGAGAGAAGGGAGAAUGAUGAGAGAGUUUUGUGAUUGAGAGUGAAUGAAUGUAUGAGUUGUGAGUUGAUUAGUUUUUUUUUAAUAAAUAAAAAGGGGUCUUAUUUAUAUAGCAAAGAGGGGUGCACUUAAUAAGGAAGAUAAAUAAAUUAAGGAAUCAAUUAUAAUACUAUUUUCUUAUUUUGAAGGAAGUCAAAUCAGCCAAAUUAUUUAAAUAUUUUACCAAAAUAUAAGCAAGUAAUAAAAUGAGAAGAGUAAUAUAUAUUUUCCUUAAAUAAAAAGAAGCCAAAAUCAGAAAAUAUUAUUUUACCAUAAAUAAGCAAGUAAGAAAUCAAUGCAAUUCUCUUAACUUAAUUAAAUAUUACUUUUCUAAAAUACAACAUGUUAGAAUAUUAAAAUUAAUCAAAUAAUCAACUAAAGAUGAAUAUAAUAUUUUAAGGGAUACAAGAAAUCAACAAAUACCAUUUAAAAGACACCGUAACAAAUCACAAUUGGAUCAAUAUAUACUUACCAUAAGCAAAUCCUAAGCUUAAAUGAGCUCACUAAAUAAAUUAAAUUGAAUUGAAAUUAAGUUAUUACUCAAACUAUUAUACCAUUUCCGAUAAGACAACCAAUUAUUCUAAUUUCAAAAGGUUAACAAUCGGUUACGGAGUGAAUAACAGAGAGGUAAAAUGAAUCACCAAUUUCUUUUUUUUUUACAUUACAUCAAGAGGGCAUAAAUAUAUGUUAAUCAUAUAAGCAAUUUAUGCCAAUUUACACCAACUGUCAUUGUCACAAGAGCAAUAUUGACAAACAAAAAAUGAUAUAGUCACAAUGAAUAUUAUUGGGGCCAAUUAAAAUCCUUAAUCAAACCCACCAAAUCAGAUUCAAGGUGAAAGGAACAUAAGCAAGAUAACAUGCUGUAAUUUCCGACAAUAACAUAUUAACAGCAAUUCUCAACUCAAUCACAUCUAGCUUUAACACCGAAAUCAUAUUAAAUCGCGAUAUAUUAUAUUUAAACAGAUACAAAAGAUGAAUUUCAAGCACAAUAAACUAACAAAAAUAUCGAUAUAGAACAACAGCCCACAUGCAUCGAUUUAAGUAAUAGAAGUUCGCAUAAAAAACAUGUACCUGGGACAUAUCUGAAAAGAUUCACCUUAUCUGUUGAUUUACCUCCCGUUUCUUGUAGGAGCCUCCUUGUUUAUCGCAUGUUCUCGCUGCUGCUCCUAGUCCUGCAAAAAGAAGAAGAGCGAGAGGCGGAGGGAGAAGAGAGAAGGGAUGAGGGGGGAGAGAAAGAGACGGCUGGAGAGAGGGGGACGAUGGGGCUGCUGGCUAGCGUUGCUGCUGCUGCGUCUGGUCGCCUCUCCUGGCUGCUGCUGCGUGGAGUUGCUACUGCCUGGCAGCUCGCCUGAAUGCUGCCAAAGAUUAAAAAAAUGCGGAGAAGAGAUGAAGAGAUGGACGGAGAAGAGAAGAGAGGAGAGGAUGACGCCGGGAUGCUGGUCGAUGCCUUUGCUGAUCCUCCACCGGAGCUGCUGCCGUCCACCGGUCUUCUUUUAUUGUUGUUUUGUUGUUGCCAAUGACGGGGAAGAGAAGGUGGGGAGAGAUGGAGCAGUGGAGGAAGCGGAUGGGAGAGAAGAGGAGGGAAGAAGGAGAAGGGAAAGAGGGAGAAAGAGGCGGUCGCCGGAAAAGAAUGGGGAGAAAGAGAGAGGGGGCUGGCGGCUGCCAAGGAAGGGGAAGGAGAAGAAUUGAAUGAAAAAUCUUAGGGGUUAUUU
rnacentral:lncRNA from 1 species